rnacentral:rRNA from 1 species
ACUGAACGCUGGCGGCAUGCCUUACACAUGCAAGUCGAACGGCAGCACGGGAGCUCGCUCCUGGUGGCGAGUGGCGAACGGGUGAGUAAUACAUCGGAACGUACCCUGAAGUGGGGGAUAACGUAGCGAAAGUUACGCUAAUACCGCAUAUUCUGUGAGCAGGAAAGAGGGGGAUCGCAAGACCUCUUGCUUUAGGAGCGGCCGAUGUCGGAUUAGCUAGUUGGUGAGGUAAAGGCUCACCAAGGCGACGAUCCGUAGCGGGUCUGAGAGGAUGAUCCGCCACACUGGGACUGAGACACGGCCCAGACUCCUACGGGAGGCAGCAGUGGGGAAUUUUGGACAAUGGGCGCAAGCCUGAUCCAGCCAUGCCGCGUGAGUGAAGAAGGCCUUCGGGUUGUAAAG